UGAAUUGUUUUCAAUCUUGAGCCUACUUAGCAUGUGUAACCCUUGCCAAGAAAGCCAAGUUAGUUGAGUAGAAGAAGCCCCACCUGCCUCCAAAAUUGACUGUAUCCUAGCUGCUCUGUUUGGCCAAGCCUCCACCAUUCACAGACAUGAGCAGAUCCUAACUGAGAUCCAUGUGAGCAAACUGAGUCUCGAGCCUCUCUCGUUUAAACCAUCCCAUCUGUUCCAGAUGUGAGGCCCACACCUCCAUUUCCUGGGCUUCUACCUGAGCCAAGACUGCCUGCACCAGAGAGGUGUUUCACUGUUUUCCCUGCUGAGGAUCUGUUGGGAGCAAGUGGUGUAAUGCUAAAUUUCUCCAAAUCUGUUUCCAUGAAGAAACAAACUCAUCUACAUCAUGGCCUGAGGGUUCAGGCUCUAAGCAGACAGGAAAUCAAAGAGAUGAUGGUCAUUUUGAGGGAUUUGAUUUUCAUUUCCUUCAGUCUUUGUAUCAUGACUUAAGUCUAUUUUGACUUUCUGACCUCAGCAGGAACUUGAAUGACCCCUUCAGUAUGUUGUCUUGUAUUACAGUUCCUCCAAGAGAUCUUUUCAAGUCAUAAUGCAAGCCACAAUACUUUAAGUUAAUGAAUAUAUACAACUGUCUUUUAACCAAACCAACACAAUUAAAAUUCUUGAAUAAAAAAGUAUUGAUAGUUGAAAGUUGAAUGAAAUAAAAAUAAAAAGUAAAAGAAAAAAUCUUAUUCUGUGCAUUGUACAGGUUGAUUUGAAUGAAACAUAGUCAGGAUAGCAUUUGGGAAAUAAUUUGCAUGAACGUUAUUAUCUUCAACAAGACUAUGAAAGUGGAAAGA